rnacentral:rRNA from 1 species
GACGAACCGUACGAACGUUAUUCGGAAUCACUGGGCUUAAAGGGUGCGUAGGCGGCGCGACAAGUUGGGUGUGAAAUCCCUCGGCUCAACCGAGGAACUGCGCCCAAAACUGUCGUGCUCGAGGGAGACAGAGGUGAGCGGAACUGCGAGUGUAGAGGUGAAAUUCGUAGAUAUUCGCAAGAACACCAGUGGCGAAGGCGGCUCACUGGCCCGGUACUGACGCUGAGGUGCGAAAGCGUGGGGAGCAAACAGG